AUGAUCAUGGUCGCACUCCGACUUACUCUAUUGACCCUACAUGGUACAUGGACACGAGAGCUACGAACCACCUCACCAACGACAUGGGCAAGCUCUCCACUCAGGAGCCAUAUCGUGGCCAUGAUCAGGUGCACACCGCCAAUGGAGCAGGAUCAGGACACGAGGGCCGUUCUGCUUAGCGGUCGUCUUCGUGGUGGCUUGUACGCACUUGAUGCGCCAACCGCACCUCCUAUGCAGUUUUCUCCUCAGGCGUUCAGCGGUGUUCGUGUGUCAUCUACACAUUGGCAUGCGCGCCUUGGUCAUCCUGCUGCUCCUAUAGUUCGUCAUGUGUUGCAUCGCCAUAAACUACCAGUUGUGUCAAAUAAAACUGCUGAAACUAUUUUUGAUGCCUAUCAACAGGGCAAGCGUCAUCAACUUCCGUUUUCAGAGUAUAGUCGUGUUGUGAAACAUCCUCUUGAGCUUGUGUUUUCUGAUGUGUGCGGUCAUGCCCAAACAUCUGUCAGUGGCUGA
rnacentral:rRNA from 1 species